rnacentral:rRNA from 1 species
AUUGAACGCUGGCGGCAGGCCUAACACAUGCAAGUCGAACGGUAGCACAGAGAGCUUGCUCUCGGGUGACGAGUGGCGGACGGGUGAGUAAUGUCUGGGAAACUGCCCGGUGGAGGGGGAUAACUACUGGAAACGGUAGCUAAUACCGCAUAACGUCGCAAGACCAAAGUGGGGGACCCUCGGGCCUCACACCAUCGGAUGUGCCCAGAUGGGAUUAGCUAGUAGGUGGGGUAAUGGCUCACCUAGGCGACGAUCCCUAGCUGGUCUGAGAGGAGGACCAGCCACACUGGAACUGAGACACGGUCCAGACUCCUACGGGAGGCAGCAGUGGGGAAUAUUGCACAAUGGGCGCAAGCCUGAUGCAGCCAUGCCGCGUGUAUGAAGAAGGCCUUCGGGUUGUAAAGUACUUUCAGCGGGGAGGAAGGCGGUGAAGUUAAUAACUUCACCGAUUGACGUUACCCGCAGAAGAAGCACCGGCUAACUCCGUGCCAGCCGCCGCGGUAA